rnacentral:pre_miRNA from 1 species
UCUUACGAAUAAACAAACAAAGUGGUUUUUUGAGAUGGAACCUACUCCUGGUGAAGAUGCUGUGAA